UACGGAGGGUGCAAGCGUUGUUCGGAAUUACUGGGCGUAAAGCGCGUGUAGGCGGUCGAGCAAGUCAGAUGUGAAAGCCUUCCGCUUAACGGAAGAAGUGCAUUUGAAACUACUCGGCUGGAGUACGGGAGAGGAGAGUGGAAUUCCCGGUGUAGAGGUGAAAUUCGUAGAUAUCGGGAGGAACACCAGUGGCGAAAGCGGCUCUCUGGUCCGAUACUGACGCUGAUACGCGAAAGCGUGGGGAGCAAACAGG
rnacentral:rRNA from 1 species